rnacentral:lncRNA from 1 species
GGAUUCCAGGAGGCGCACUGAGCAUGCCCAGCAUGGGCCGGUCGGGGAAGGAAGCGGCGGCGCUCCCCAGACCCGCGAGGACAGGGCUGUCACGGGCGCAUAAGGGCUGGCGGCUGCUCGGAGUGGCUCCGUGUAGCGAGCAGCCGAGCCCCGGCAGUCGCUCGACCAGAGGCAGCGCGGGAAGCCGGCAGGGCGUGCGGGGCGCAGACCCUGGAGCCUCGGGCACCGCGGAGGGCGGAUGGGGGAUGCCGAGGCGGCCCGGUUGCCGACGCACAUCCCGCACUUCUCUUUGCUAAAUCGAGGGACCAAAAUGCAGAGAUCGGAGAGAGACCACCCGGGGUCCGAGGAGCGAAACACUCCGUCGCCCCUCGGAGGGAAGCAGGGGCCAGCAGAUCCCCGGAGCGCGUUAAAUGGACUACACGCCCGGUGCUGCAACUAGAGGCUUUUGCUGGCGGGGACUCUGGCCGGAAAGGCAGAGAGGGCGGAUAGGAAAGGUCGGGACAGAGGAUAUUUGAAUCUCCUUCAAGACCGGAGAGAAAAUUACUUUGAGCACUCCCUACUUGCUGGGUGACGGAAGCUGCCGGGAGAAAGGGAAAAUGACAGCUUCUGGGAUCCCCGUAGUCAGCCCUAGGCCUGUCCGCUGUGCGGAGAGAAGUCUCCUACCCGGGAGUGUGACAGGCCGCGGCGGCUGAUCAAGGCUGACCUUGCACUUCUGCUCCCGCAGCGCCCAGAAACCUACGAAACAGAGCUCGCCCGGACGCGUGGCUGCGGCAAAAGCCGCUUCAGCUCACCUAUCUGCAAACUUUACUUGGGAGAGGCUGGGAGGAGUCCCGUCCAGCUGCUCCCCAAGCUGAGGAACAUAUUUCCUUUCCCAUUAACACUGUCUGAGGAUUCCAACUUUACCUGUAGUACUUGGCUUUCCUGUGCAGUUCAUUUCUGUGACUCCUCUUCCGUCGAGUAUCCUCAUACGUUUCUCAUUUUCAUUCAAGAGCCGGAUAGAAUAACUCUCAAAAGGAUUAGUUUAUACCAUAAAUAUUGGCCCUGAAAGCACUUAUCUAUAUUUGACUGAUCUUUUAAAAUCAGUAAACCACGAAGAUUUGUGCAAUGGGUUGUACCUACGACGCCAGAUACCUGAGUAAAAUUUGAGGCAUUAAUAAUAACAGUUCACUUGGAACAACAACAAAAAAUUAUUUUUUAGCAUGACCUAUAAAGGUCUAAGAAGGUCUUAAUGCAUGAUUGAAUAACUUAUUCUAACUUACAGGGAGGAUAAAGGGCAUUUAUUUUAAACCUCCGUGUUCCCCAUUCUAUACUGGCCUGAAGAUGCCAUAAAGGCUCUUCAUAUAGUUAUGCACUGGGAUGGAGUUUCAGGAACACCUCUUGUUUUUGAAUACAAUGGCUUUCCUUUUUAAAUAUGAACACUUAUUUUUAGAUAUUUAAAAGUAAAAAGAAAAAAAUUACUACGGAAAUCUACUAAAUUUAGAUAUUCUAUAAAUAAUCCCUUAAUUUAACCAACACAUUUGACAUUGCAAUUUCCCCACUCUGAGACUAUAAGCUCUUUUUUUUUUUAUAAGUGCAGUGCCUAUAAACCCAGUGUAAAAUACAUUAAUCCCUUAUGUGUGAAAUAUAAAACAGGUUUCUAGCAAGCCAUAGGUUGACACUGUUUUGAAAUAGCUAAACAACUCCUAUGAUAGUAUUUUGUAUGAUUAGAAUAUAUACAGUUUUAAAAAGGACUGCUUAAGUAUCUAAAAGUCAAUACAAAAAUAUUAACUUCUACAAUAAUGUGAGUGAAUUCAAGGAAGAUAUUUUUAUCUUACCACAGUGAAUGUUCAUUUUGCCAUUCACAAAAUGUACCAUUUAAGCGAGUGCAUUGUUCCAAUUGUCACCUAUUUUGUGAUCUGAACUAGUUUAAAAUAAUAAAUGAACCAUCCUUCUGAUAUAUUACAAUAAACAUAUCAGCACAGUCACUUUCCAGUUCAUUUUGUAAGCAUCACAGUUAUAUUACACUCUUAUUCUAAUCAUACUGUAGUCAUUUCAAAGUCAUGUUGUAGUGGCAGCACAUAGCUUAGCAAUAAUUGUUUAACAUUAUUCCUAAGUAGAAUUGUUUCUGUUUGCGAAGGGGUAGAUUUUCUUGGUAGUCAGAACCCAUUAUUACCCUAAGCUCAUAAAUGAAAUCUUAGUAUGAACAAUGGUAGAGGUUAUGGAAGAAAAAAUAUAUCAUCACAUGAUAAGACAUGUCUAUGAGGCUUCAAUUAACAGACAUCGCAGGUCAAAGCCUCAAAAUGAAGUAGAUAUAGCUUCUUUUCAAAGGAGAUUGAGUAUAAUACAGAAAUAGAACUACUGACUUCAGUGCAUUGCAUUGUGUAAGUUUUUUUGGCAUAUCUAAAUUACUGGGAUUCUUUAAUUGUAAUAGUUUUAGCCCUUAAAGCUAGCAUGGUUGAAGCUUAUUGUUUGCCCUAUUAUAUUCCAACUGCUAAACUGCAGAAUGAGAACUAUUAUUAGACAGCUUAUUAAUAUUCCUGGCAGAAAAUUAAAUAUAAAGGGUCAUUUUCCUAACCCUCUGCAAUCAUAACUUGAGGCUUCUGCCCAAACCACCAUAUCUACAAGUGCCUAUCGAGAGUUGCUCACAAUCCACUUAUCCUGCUUUUUAUUUUUUGAAAAAAUGUAUAUCUGCAUAAUUAUGAAUUAGGGGAAUGAUAUUUUUCAUUUAUUUUAGUGUUUCUAGGGAACAUUUAUUUUUUGAUGCAUUUAAUCACUUUUCUCUUUCAUGAAUUUAAUAAAAGGUUAGACUUUCAAUUAUAUGACUUCCAAUAUACAUCUUCCAGUAUAUAUGUUAGAUUUCAAAUUAGAUUUCUUCAACUAACCCUAAUACAUCUUUGUCAGUGCAUGUUUUCUACAGCAAGAAAUUAUCAUGUGCUCACCUGCGUUGUCCCUAAUUAGUACUUUAAGAAUUAUACCGUCGAGGCUGUAGUAAAAUUACCUUAGCGUUCUCUGCCGGGUGGUUAUAUAGGUCAGAAGAUACUUGUGAAUCUAAAUCACUUUCUGCAAGCAAAGUGAAGACUAAAGUGCAAUUAGAGACUGAUACAGAAAGAGAGAUUGAGUUAAAUUAUUUUAUAUUCAAAAAAAUGUAAUGUUUGUUUAUAUAUUUUUAAGGAAUAAUUUCCAUGUAAUGGCAUUUAAUAAAUUAUAACACAGUUCAGUUUGUUAAUUGGAUUUUCAUCUAUGAUUUUCUAGUUACCACUCAGCAUUUUAAAAUUACAUUUCACACAGAGAUCACAAAGGCUUUUUAAAGUUACAUUUUAUAUAAAUGGCAUAGUCUGUGGUAUUUGGAAUGAUCAAACGACCUCCUCAAGGAUUUCAAGACUAAAAUUUUCAACUCUAAUGUACUAGUUCUAUAUUCCAAUCAAAGUUAAAAAUAAAAUAAAAUAAAAUUCUUUUG